rnacentral:rRNA from 1 species
GACGAACGCUGGCGGCGUGCUUAACACAUGCAAGUCGAACGAUGAAGCCGGAGCUUGCUCUGGUGAAUUAGUGGCGAACGGGUGAGUAACACGUGAGUAACCUGCCCUUGACUCUGGGAUAACUGCGGGAAACUGUAGCUAAUACCGGAUACGACCCUCGGAGGCAUCUCCUGGGGGUGGAAAGAAUUUCGGUCAAGGAUGGACUCGCGGCCUAUCAGCUAGUUGGUGAGGUAAAGGCUCACCAAGGCGACGACGGGUAGCCGGCCUGAGGGGGUGACCGGCCACACUGGGACUGAGACACGGCCCAGACUCCUACGGGAGGCAGCAGUGGAGAAUAUUGCACAAUGGGCGCAAGCCUGAUGCAGCAACGCCGCGUGAGGGAUGACGGCCUUCGGGUUGUAAACCUCUUUUAGCAGGGAAGAAGCGAAAGUGACGGUACCUGCAGAAAAAGCACCGGCUAACUACGUGCCAGCAGCCGCGGUAA